GGGGGGGGAUAAAAAAAUAAAGAAACAAAUAAUUUAAAAGAGAAAAAUGCUGAUAGCUGCUAUGUAGCACACAGGGUUCUGCCUCAUAUUUGUGGAAUGCCUGAUGUGGUGCGUGAAGAAACGCAGGCAGCCAACAGAAUUGGCAGAUUUCCCCUUGACCAGCUCUGAUCGCUAAUAUUUUAUAUGCAUCAAAGCAAAGGACUCCCACAAUUUUCAGCAUAAGAAUAAAUCAGAUAUCAAGUUGAAUUUGAUCACAUUUAAUAAAAAAAACAGAUGCAUAUUAUGCAUUAAUGCAUAUCAAAUUUAUCUUAUGAUCCAUUCUUUCUCUGCUUCAUUGAAAAGUACUAAUUCUAUCAACGAACCAGCAGCAGGAUUUUUUUUUCACUCUUAUGUGUAACAAUCCUUAGAAAACAAAUAUUGUUUUCAUUGUUAUGUGUAAUCUGUGUGCUUUCUGAGCCGAUGUCUCAUCAGAAAUGUCAUUAUGGUAACACAUAGUGACUAUAAAGAUUCUCGACAGAAAACCAGACAUAUUGGUAACAACUAGAAAAAAAAGCCUGAGAAAGUGUGUCCCCAGAAAAAUAGGGGUUUUGUUUCUUCUGUUUAUUAAAUGCAUAAAAACAUCAAAACCCAACCAUUUCCAGCAUCAAAACAUAUCAGCAAACAGCAUGUACCUUUUUGCACAUCUUUCAAAUGCAAUAAAAAUCAGGACGGAGACGUAUGCUUUGAUGCAUAUAUUGGAGUUCUCUUGCAUUUUUUUCCAUUCGUAUUCUUUACUACUAUGUCCAGCAAAUAACCUGGCAAAGGUAAUUCCCUAUAGGUUAGGCUACAGUUAGCCAGGUUAGGCUACAAAAUCUGAAUCGGUCAAAAUCACAAGAUCAGACCUUAAAUGACACUGAACAUAAUUACUGGUCAGAAAAAAGGCUAAUUUGGUGAAUCUCUUUAAAAAAAAAAACGUGGUUAGUUAAAUGCAUCAAAACUAAGAACCUUCACCCUUUCAGGCUAAUAAAACACAUCUAUCAACAGCAUGUCCUUUGAGAGAGAAAAGGUCCGAUUUGGAAGGUCAGACCUCAAAGAAAACUGAAAAUGGGUAUCAACCAGAAAAAGCCAGAGCUGCAUAGCCCUAGUUGGAGGAAAACAAUUUGAUGAUGUACAGCUGGGCAAAGAUUCGGAGCUCAGUCACUUCAGUAAUCCUGAACAUCAAUGGGAUUCUCAUUCAAUAAAAAAAAAAAAAAAGAAAGAAGGCAAUUUCAAUUUCGAUUCCGAUUCGAUGCAGCCAGGCUGAACCUGGAUUUAUUUUUAUUUGCUUUAACCGCUUCAUCUUAGAAACCUGGCAAAACCUGUUUAAGUUCAGAGAACAAAUUUGUCCUUCCUAUUUAAAAAAACAAACAAAAAAAAAACAACUACUAAUUGCUUGGGCUUCAUCUUCCAUCCACUGUUGCAUCUGUGUUCAACAACUCCCCACGCGUAGGGGCAAAAUCAACACAUAUAUGGUAAGCAAUCACCUCAUAUAUUAUAACUGUGAACAAACAGCCCCUUAAUCAACACCUCCCGAGCCCAAAUAACUUUUCUUAAAACAUCAGCACCUAUAAAACACAAAAUAAAUGUUACUAUGUGUGAUUUUUCACACUGCGCACAUAAACAAAAAGCAACAUCCAGCAGCACGGGCUGAAACGCAGCAAGACAAUGGCCUUUCUUUUUUUUUUUUUUUUCUAAAGCAUGCUAUAUCGACAUAACAUAACGGUCUGUGUGCAGAGUGUCCUUGGUGUGCUCUCUUUAUCUACGAUUGCAGAGAUGCCACUUCCUCUUCCUUCUGCAGCCUUAAAAGAUACAAGUCGUGCUGCCGUGCCAUCAUUUCCCCUCGACGCAUUCUCCAUCCAUCUUAUCUACAUGAUCCCACUUAUUGAUUUAGUUACUGCACAACCCGCGGACAAUGAUUUAUGUCUCGUUGAUCGCAGGCGAAGCGGCAGCUUAUAGGCACUGUAUCCGUGACCUUCCCCAAUCAAGGCGAGCCCUGCAGAUCCCGGCGUAGCAAACAACGCCAUUUGGUGUACAUCUACAAUAACCAGACCACGUCACCGGAAAUACGAUGCUGCGCGUGCAAGCAGCGAAUAAACAAGGAGGAGCAAUGGAGCCGAGCGAGUCAGCAACAUCCAGCGGAAGUGCAAAACGAAAGAGAAAUAGCCCUCCUUUUCAUCAGGCGGCCCUCGUCAUCACCAGGCACAGCAAUCAAUACAGGAAGCUGUAACGUGAGGGGAUGUGGAAACUUGGGAGAGAGGGAGACAAGGAGACCCGCCAUCCUCCAACAGCCUCUCUCCAGGGCAACCGCAGCCUCUGCAAUGGCUAAUUACGGGAUGCUUCGAGUCAGAGGUGGUCCACGAGGUGCUGCUCUCCGGAUUAAGAGGACAGGGAUUGCGUAAAAAAA